CUUCUUAUGAUGGUCGGACUCACGGUGCAAGACAAAGCUUGCGGAAUACUUUAUCCUAUCUCAAGACGGUCCUAUCUCGGUCGAGCACCUUUUGACUUCAGCAGAGGGGCUGUAGCUAAUGCUAACUUCAUGAUACAGCAGGUGCACAGCAGGUGCAAGCAGUCCAUUAUCUUUGCGCACAGUGUAUGACCAUUUCUUCGACCAAGUGGAGAAGAACCAUGCAAGUACAUGAAGUAAAACGCCGCAAGAUGAAGACUUACUUUUACUCUUCUUCUGAUUCUUUUUCGUUUGGCGACGAAGGAGAAUGGGAGCUUAUCGCGAGUGAACAUGAGUGCGCUGUGAUGUAUAUAGAGACCCCACUAUUUCUUUCCUGCGUGGGAUAGAAGGUACCCCAUAGAUGCAGGACUCCAAACGAAGAUUUACAGUGAGUAAUGUAAAACGACGUAUCUAUUGCAAGCACUUUUCAACUGGAUGGAUAUCUCGAUUACAUAAUGAAUUUAGCGAUCAGUACAUAUUUCGAACAGGUCAUAAAAAUACGAGAUGGUACUACC